GGUAGCGUGGCCGAGCGGUCUAAGGCGCUGGUUUAAGGCACCAGUCUCUUCGGAGGUGUGGGUUCGAAUUCCACCGCUGCCA
rnacentral:tRNA from 1 species